UCCCUGGUGGUCCAGUGGCUAAGACUCUGCACUCCCAAUGCAGGGGGCCUGGGUUCCAUCCCCAGUCAGGGAA